ACUAAGGUAGCAUAAAUUGUAAUGUAAGAGGUUUCGGGUCUCUAGAUGUGUCUUUUUUGGCACUCUUAGUU
rnacentral:tRNA from 1 species